rnacentral:rRNA from 1 species
UACUGACGCUAAAGCUCGAAGGUGCGGGUAUCGAAACAGGAUUAGAUACCCUGGUAGUCCGCACGGUGAACGAUGGAUGCCCGCUGUUUGCGAUAUACUGUGAGCGGCCAAGAGAAAUCGUUAAGCAUCCCACCUGGGGAGUACGCCGGCAACGGUGAAACUCAAAGGAAUUGACGGGGGCCCGCACAAGCGGAGGAACAUGUGGUUUAAUUCGAUGAUACGCGAGGAACCUUACCCGGGCUUGAACUGCCAGCGAACGAUUCAGAGAUGAUGAGGUCCUUCGGGACGCUGGUGGAGGUGCUGCAUGGUUGACGUCAGCUCGUGCCGUGAGGUGUCGGCUUAAGUGCCAUAACGAGCGCAACCCUUUUCUUUAGUUGCCAUCAGGUAAUGCUGGGCACUCUGGAGAUACUGCCACCGUAAGGUGUGAGGAAGGUGGGGAUGACGUCAAAUCAGCACGGCCCUUACGUCCGGGGCUACACACGUGUUACAAUGGGGGGUACAGAGAGUCGGUGCAUGGCAAUAUGCAUCUAAUCCUUAAAGCCUUCCUCAGUUCGGAUUGGGGUCUGCAACCCGACCCCAUGAAGCUGGAUUCGCUAGUAAU